GCACAGCUUUUGCUGUAAUCAAUCAAUCCCCUGAACCCCGAGUUCAGGUAAUUUCAGAACUUUAUACCAGCAUGGAAGGGGAGGGGCUCAGAAGUCCACAGUCUGCAGAAGUUCACAUAAAAGCAGCUUUUUCUUUCAAUGUUCUGGGCAAGUUAACUCUUCAAGGACAACCCCCGAGAAGGGGAGAGCUUCUUCUCCCCUUUCUUUCCUCCCCUGCCAGCUGUUACCAAUUGGUUACUUAUCUUAGAAAUGUAGACAUCUCUGUGAAGCCCAGCUCAAGGCCAGAGGCCUUGUUUGCACAUUUCUACAAACUACUAUACUGGAUACGUUUGUGAAAAAACUAGUAAGGGGGUGUCCAGCACCUGGAGUGCUGGUAUCUUCCCGGCCAGUGGCCAAGUAAAACAGGGCGACACAAAAAUAGGAAGUUUAUCGACAUUGACCUCUUUUGUAGAGACUCUUUUGCCAACAGUCCUAAAAUCAGCCAUGACAAAGGUUUCUGGAGAAGCCCAGUUAAGAUUUUCUGUGGAGGAGGGGGUGCCAGACAUUCCCAGUUAUGAUGAAUGGGAGAUGUGGCUGGGAAAACAUGAAUAGAGGCAGAGUUGCUGGCUUCGAAGAUGAGAGAAGAGGACUGCAGACCAGGGAAUGUGAGUAGCCUCCAGUGACAGGAGACAAGGAGGCAAUUCUCCCCAACCCAGAGAAGAGGCACAGCCCUGCCAACCUCAUCAUUAAGC
rnacentral:lncRNA from 1 species